rnacentral:rRNA from 1 species
CAGUAGGGAAUCUUCCGCAAUGGACGAAAGUCUGACGGAGCAACGCCGCGUGAGCGAAGAAGGUUUUCGGAUUGUAAAGCUCUGUCUUUAAGGAAGAACAGCCAUCAGAGGGAAUGCUGAUGGUGUGACGGUACUUAAAAAGAAAGCCCCGGCUAACUACGUGCCAGCAGCCGCGGUAAUACGUAGGGGGCAAGCGUUGUCCGGAAUUAUUGGGCGUAAAGCGCGCGCAGGCGGUCAUGUAAGUCCGAUGUGAAAAUCCAAGGCUCAACCUUGGGACUGCAUUGGAAACUGCAUGACUUGAGAGCAGAAGAGGAGAGUGGAAUUCCUAGUGUAGCGGUGAAAUGCGUAGAUAUUAGGAGGAACACCAGUGGCGAAGGCGACUCUCUGGUCUGUUACUGACGCUGAGGCGCGAAAGCGUGGGGAGCAAACAGGAUUAGAUACCCCGGUAGUUCUAGCUGUAAACGCUGGACACUAGGUGUUGGGGGUUCAACUCCCUCGGUGCUGUAGUUAACGCAUUAAGUGUCCCGCCUGGGGACUACGAUCGCAAGAUUGAAACUCAAAGG